rfam:Candidatus Buchananbacteria bacterium RBG_13_36_9 RBG_13_scaffold_784, whole genome shotgun sequence.
GCACCCAUAGCUCAACUGGAUAGAGCGCUUGGCUUCGGACCAAGAGGUUGAGGGUUCAAAUCCUUCUGGGUGCA